UGGGGAAUUUUGGACAAUGGGCGAAGGCCUGAUCCAGCAAUGCCGCGUGUGUGAAGAAGGCCUUCGGGUUGUAAAGCACUUUUGUCCGGAAAGAAAUCCUUGGCUCUAAUACAGUCGGGGGAUGACGGUACCGGAAGAAUAAGCACCGGCUAACUACGUGCCAGCAGCCGCGGUAAUACGUAGGGUGCAAGCGUUAAUCGGAAUUACUGGGCGUAAAGCGUGCGCAGGCGGUUUGCUAAGACCGAUGUGAAAUCCCCGGGCUCAACCUGGGAACUGCAUUGGUGACUGGCAGGCUAGAGUAUGGCAGAGGGGGGUAGAAUUCCACGUGUAGCAGUGAAAUGCGUAGAGAUGUGGAGGAAUACCGAUGGCGAAGGCAGCCCCCUGGGCCAAUACUGACGCUCAUGCACGAAAGCGUGGGGAGCAAACAGGAUUAGAUACCCUGGUAGUCCACGCCCUAAACGAUGUCAACUAGUUGUUGGGGAUUCAUUUCCUUAGUAACGUAGCUAACGCGUGAAGUUGACCGCCUGGGGAGUACGGUCGCAAGAUUAAAACUCAAAGGAAUUGAC
rnacentral:rRNA from 1 species